rnacentral:rRNA from 1 species
CCGCGCGGCGCGCGUCAC